UUGAGGACAUGCCCUAAAGCAAGAUCUCAACAGAUUGAGACCAUGCUCUAGACAGUGACAGUUUUGCAGCUUAUUUUAUACAUUUAGAGUCAAAGGAGAAAACGUUGAGGAAGGUUACAUAGUAUCUUGGUGGUAGAUUAAUGAGGCAGGAGAACGCAAAAUGUGGAAAUUCCUGGGAUUGGAUAAAAAAGGAGAAUGGAGUCAUUCUUGCUUCCUUUUUACAUGGGUGGGUACAAGAUAGUUCAUAAUGAACAUUUAUUGCACAUAGAGAUGGUAUGCGGGGAAGAAGAUAACCAUGAAGUGCUACGUGGUCUCCAGAGUGUGGUUGUGCCUUCACAAAGGGUCAGGAAAGGAAAAUUACUCUGACAUUUCAAAGGUAUGUUAUCCUAGAUGCAUAAGAACAAUGGACAGGGCUCACGGUACAGGUUGACCUUUACUAAGGAGGGUGUGCCUGGGAUGUGACUGACUACCUGCCAUAACCUGCCCAGUUAGGAAUUUAUCAUCAGACCGGCCUGUGUGGUUGCUUUCAGUCCCUGGGCUUCUCCGGCCUGCCAAGUAGCCCCUUAGCUCGUGGGACCUGCUGUGUUGCCCCUUCUGUUCACAAAGCCCUCUGCCGUGUAUCAGGAUACGUUUUUUCCAUAGGCUGUGAGACCAAUAUGAAAAUGUUCUCACAGGCACUGCAGAGAUCCGGCAGAGCUGACUGACGUGGGCCGUAACUUCAGAGAACCUGGGACCUUGGCUUACACAGCAUCUGGAACGCACAAGAGCUCGAUGACUGUCAAAUGACUAACACGGCUACACAUGUGCAAAGGUGUGGUGUGCACAGUGAUCAGCGUCCCGUUAUAAAACCAUAGAGAAACGGCAUAGGAGCAACUUAUUCGUUAGACAGUGACUAUGACGCACCCACACAUCGGAGAUCUGUGCACCUACUUGAAAGAAUGAGGCUGAUCUAUAUGCACUGACAUAAGAGAGUUCAUGAGAAAGGCAGUUGCAGCAUGUAGAUGCAUGUAUGCAGAUGUGUGUGUGGGUGGGUGAGUGUGUGUGUCACACACAGGCCUGCUACACACAUACAGAUGUGGAUACUUGGCGUGAAGAGGAGUCUGGCUCCAUAAGGUGGCUCCUGCCAGCCUUUAAGCCUCACCCUGCCCUCUUCCUCUUGGUCCCCAACCUCUGGACAGCUUAUAAAACAUCCCAAGUGCUACUUCCUUUGGCCCUGGCAGUAGACUUAAAUCACGCAAGCCCCUGUCCCUGCAUGGGAACCCCAGCUCUAGCAACCACGGUCAAAGCCCCAGCCAGUCUUCCCUCGCUCUCAGCCAUUUCAGGUCUGUGAGAGGC